rnacentral:lncRNA from 1 species
UAGCCAAUAAUUUUAAUUUUCUUUUAGUUAUUUCCGUCUACAAAUUAUUGUUAAGAGUAAUAUUGUCUUUGCAUAGUCAAUUAACGGUCAAUGUUAAAAUUAACUGACGGUAGAAAGUUUUUUACAAAUAAAUAAAUUCUCGCCAUCUACUUACAACAAGCUCAAACCUCAAGGAAGAUUUUUAAAAAUUACCCAAAUUUCAAAUCUAAAGGCCCUUAAUUUACGACACAAUUAACUCAUGCUGAUCCGAGAUCUAAAAAAUUAUGCUUGUGGUAAGAUGCCAAUUGCACGGCUCAUGAAAAAAAAUAUUGCAAGUUGAGUGUUGCAUUUUUCACAUGCCUAGUCGCUUUCCCUAACUUCAAAAUUGUUGAAAAAAGGGGUUUUUAUUUAUUUAUUUUUUACGAAAAGAGAAUUUGGCCCUGGGCUUAGAUGAGCUUUCAAAAAAUCCUAUGCUUCAGUAUAUUAUUCAUUAAAUUCCCCUAUAUCUUUGAUUGGCUAUUUAAUAUGUAUAGCCCAUAGGGUUUGGUGAGAAUCCAGAUUUUUUUUUUUCACUUUAUAUGUGUGCAAUUCUUCUAUGCACACGUGUCUCACUAAAAUUUGAUGAUGCUGCUGAGAAUAGACCUUCUCCGCAGAAUCAAUUGAUGAAAAAAAAAAAAAAUUGACAAAAAUACGCUUCCCCAAAAAAGGAGCUUCGGUUAAUAAAUGCAACAAAAGGAAAAGACGACAAAAAUGAAAUAAACUAAUGAAUAAUAAAAUAGAUAUAGAAUUUGAGUUGCCACCGUAAGGCGCUACAAGCCCACAAAACUAAGAAACGAAUAUGGUAUAAACAAAUAGGGCGGUCGGGUUAUUUAAAAAUAAAAUAAAUAAAGUGGAAUAAAGGAAAAAUAAAGGAAAGAUCCAACGCGAGCCGAGAAUCAAGCAAGGUUUCGGGGUUGAGUGACAUGCCGGGGAGCCGGGAGACAUACGUGGGAGGGAAGACGCCAUACACGUGUCGAGACAUCGGUGCUUUGGAUGACUCGUCUUCUUGGCUAAAUUCGAUCUACUGCUAGCAUUAUAAUAUGGAAAGUUACAAGGGCGUGUUUGGCGGCAGGAUCAGAGCAUGGGCAUUGGAUGAUCUUUUUGAAAGAAAAAUAAAAAAAAAUAAAAUCUCAAGGGAGGCAUAAAAUAAUAAAUGAAAAAAAAAAAGGCGUAUACUUCAUUUAGUAACGACGAGGCGAAAUAAAAUCUCAUAUAUAUGUAUCAGCACUAGCAUAUAACUUUUUAUCUACUCCCAUAUUAUGUUCAUGUUAAAAUAAGAGCAUAUUAUUCAUUUAUUGCAGUGGAACACAUCAUUUAAUCUUUUGUUAUAUAAAAAAAUUAUCUCAUUUAGCCCUAUGAGAUAAGUUACUUACUACUUUUUUUUAAAAUUAAAGUAUAAAUUAUUUAGCCAUUAAAUAAAUUAAAUUAAAUAAUUACACGAUUAAAAUUUCUAAUUUAUUAUAUAUUAAGACUUAUAAUGUAAUUUUUUUAUAAAUACAAAAUCAUAAUUUCAAUAAUAUUUAUAAGUUAUUAAUUAAAAUUAUUUUGAGAAAUAAAUUAAAUUAUUUACAUUUUAAAGUUAAAAUUAACAUCUAUAAAACUAUAAUAUAAUCCAAUCCAAUCCAGUCAUAUACCAUGUAAACACAAGAUAAUACUAAUUGUAUUAUUUUUCUCGCAUAACUUGUAAAUAGGCAACACGUGCAUUUACAUAGAGGUGCCAAGUGCUAAGAUGGUGGGAAUGUUUAUAUGUUGGCAGCUGAAGAUAUAUAUAUAUAUAUAUUCAUUAUUUAUAACUAUCCCAUAAACAAAGAAAUAAAUAAAUAAACAAACAAAAAUUCAUGCAUUGUAAAUAUCACUUGAUUAGUCAAAUGUAUAUAUGAAUGAUGGAGUUUAAAAAUUAACUUGGCUUACCGAAUGAAUUAGUUGACUUUGACUCUCAAAACCAUCCCCCCCCCUACAGAAUUAAUCUAUUUCAUUCCAUUUAAAAGCUUAAUUAUUUUUUUCUUUUACACAAUGAAUUAUUUAUGAUCGGGAUUUAUCAUCAAUUUAUAAAUCACAUUUACUGCUAAUAACGAAAUCCAUUUAUUUUAUCAAAUUGUUUAGCAUGAAAUUAUUAUAUUGCCAAUUAUUUAAUUAACUCGAAAGUAUUUUAUAACACCCAAGUACAAGUUAUUUUUAAUGUAUUUACAUAUACAUUUAAAUCAAAUAAUUACCAAGUUAUUUGAUUUCAGACAUUUUUAAUAAAAAGUUAAAAAAAGAAUAUAAACAAGCCAUUCACACAAAUGUAUUUAGACUAAUUUAAAAUUUAUUUAAUAUUUAACUGAAAAAAUAAACGCUUUCUUAUUGUUUGAAAGAAUUGUUUUUUUUUUUUUUCUGUCAUUGACGUGUGUAUGAGGGGAAUUCUAACCUAAUUAGUGGGUAGUUCAAGAAUCAUUAAUCAUAAAUAAUGUAAUCAAAACUUGCUUUAUGAUUUUUAUUAUACAAAUUCCAACGGUGUGAUAUUUGAAUAAAAUAAGUGGCUUUGAAUUUUCCCUCGUUUAUGGUGCAAGUGAUGAUAAAAAAAUAAAAACAUCUUUCCAUGCGAUAAUUCAAAUUUUGUCGUAUGUUUUUUUUGUUCCACUUGCGUGACAGCCAUACCAAUUAAUCGCCCUGCUAUAUUUCGAUUCAAUUUGCAGGACCAAAAUUUAAAAAGUACCUGCAUUUGAUUUCGUGCGUUUCGUUAACACAAAUUUAUGCAAGAGGUAUAAUCAUAGUCAUAUAUCAAAUUUAAAUUCAAACCUUAUUGUUAUUCAAGUUUGUAGUAAGUCUACUGAUACUUUCAUAUCUUGCAAACAGGCUGUGUACGGAGGAUUUGAUGACGAAAUUUCACCUCUUCUUACGUAAUAAAUAUUCGUGUUUCACUAUUCCACCCACUCUUUUCUUAUGGUGGUAGUUUGAGUAGGCUUUCUAAUUUAUUGUUCAACAAAUAUUUAGAAGGUACUACAACUGUCUCUUCUGACCAAAAAAAAAAAAAAAAAAAUCAAAGCUCAUUAUCACUCAUUCAACUCCCAAGAAAAAAAAUUAAAGACUACCCUUAGCACUUAAGAUUUAAUUAGACUAAGUUAUAUUGAAUUGG